CAGUAGCCGCGGGAACACGUAGGUGGCAAGCGUUGUCCGGAAUUAUUGGGCGUAAAGGGCUCGCAGGCGGUUUCUUAAGUCUGAUGUGAAAGCCCCCGGCUCAACCGGGGAGGGUCAUUGGAAACUGGGAAACUUGAGUGCAGAAGAGGAGAGUGGAAUUCCACGUGUAGCGGUGAAAUGCGUAGAGAUGUGGAGGGACACCAGUGGCGAAGGCGACUCUCUGGUCUGUAACUGACGCUGAGGAGCGAAAGCGUGGGGAGCGAACAGGAUUAGAUACCCCCGUAGUCCCUGUCUCUUAUAC
rnacentral:rRNA from 1 species